GACUCUGCUGAGUAAGGAGGGGUGGGGCGGGUGAGUCGGCCUCGCCAUGCGCAUGCGCGAGGCCCCAGCCGCUGCUUUGGUCACAGUGACCGCCACCGUUGCCCGGGGAUGGGUCCCUGAGACUUGGCGAAGUAGGAGCCCUGUGUGAUCGUGCGUCAGAGUCGGGGCUCAGACCAGUCGUGGCCAGGGCAGUUACCAGGACGGUCUCCGGAGGCCGGGAUUCGCGGAGGGUCAACCUGGAGGAAGAAACGCCAGAAGGAAGAAACUUCAGACAGAUCGCCGGGGACGCAGCACGGGAUCCCAGCCUCAGGCCUGCGGGGACGGUGUGCGGGAAGGGAGUGUAUCCUGGUGUAUGACAGCAUAUAGUAGAGACCAGUGUCAAUUAGGGCCUGUGAACUGAGACAGGGUGACUGGCUAAGUCCACAACCCAUUAGAAACCCAGAAAUAAUCAAAUCAUGGAGAGAUUAGUCCAGGGACAAUAAAUAUGGAUUAGGGAAGAAUGUGUUAACUCAGCAGGCCAGGGUUUCUUCAACCCUGCACAUUCAAAGAGGGAUCAUGGAAAGGAAGCUGAAUUUGCUGAGUUUUGCCACGUGGGCAUUGCAUGCCUAUGUGAUUAACCACCAAUAAAAACCUGGGACAUCAAAAAAUAAAUAAGCUGCUUUAAUUGCCAAGAAUUCACAUGUGGUUGUAUGCAGCAUUACUGGGAGAUUGAAGUGUAUCUGCAUGUGAUUCUACUGUGAUGGACACUUGUAAAUUUGUGCCUGGAGUCUCCUGGAAUUUGCCCUGAGAAUCUUUUUCCUUUGUUGAUAAGAAUCUGCAUCCUUUUGUUUUAAUAAACGAUAAACAUGAGUAUAAUUGCU
rnacentral:lncRNA from 1 species